UACGGGGGGAGCAAGCGUUGUUCGGAUUUACUGGGCGUAAAGGGCGCGUAGGCGGUCACGACAGGUCAGUUGGGAAAUCUCUGGGCUUAACUCAGAACGGUCAACUGAUACUGUCGGACUAGAGUGCAGAAGGGGCAACUGGAAUUCUCGGUGUAGCGGUGAAAUGCGUAGAUAUCGAGAGGAACACCUGCGGCGAAGGCGGGUUGCUGGGCUGACACUGACGCUGAGGCGCGAAAGCUAGGGGAGCGAACGGG
rnacentral:rRNA from 1 species